rnacentral:rRNA from 1 species
UACGUAGGGGGCAAGCGUUGUCCGGAAUUAUUGGGCGUAAAGAGCGUGUAGGCGGUCCGGUAAGUCAGCUGUGAAAGUCAAGGGCUCAACCCUCGGAUGCCGGUGGAUACUGUCGGGCUUGAGUACGGAAGAGGCGAGUGGAAUUCCUGGUGUAGCGGUGAAAUGCGCAGAUAUCAGGAGGAACACCAAUUGCGAAGGCAGCUCGCUGGGACGUUACUGACGCUGAGACGCGAAAGCGUGGGGAGCAAACAGG